rnacentral:lncRNA from 1 species
AUUUACAGAUGGGAACUAGUAUAACUAGUUUGGAUACUGGUUUUGUAACAGUAUGUACUAUUUAUAAGUUUGAUGUUAGGUGCAGGAGGCACGAGGAAAGUUUUUGGCGGUUUUUAUGGGUGGGGUUUAAAGGUACUAUAUAAAGUUUGGGAUUUAAAUGUAUUAGUAUCGAAGGUGCUCGCAGUUACGUCGGAUUGAAGUUGGUCACAUAGGUAUAUGUGCAGUUGCUGCUAUGUUUAUUGUACGUACAGGCGUUGGAGGCAUUAGCCGGGGGAAAAGAAACGAUGCGAAAGAGGAACAAUGUUAAAUAUGUCAUGUGUUUAUAUAAUGUUUCGAUUGAAGAAAUAUGUACAAUUCAGUAAAAUAAAAUAUUGUAUCGCAAGAGAAAAUAAGAUGUUACUGCGAGCAACUAAUCCUAUAUCUGUGUUUGUCUUGUUUAUAGCCUAUUGAAUUAGAAAUUAAAUGCUUUAAAUUCGGACGAGCAGGGCGAGGGAGAAUUUAAGUUUCCAUA